AAGCUUGAACCUGCUCGCGAGCAGGCUUAUUUCCUGUUAACAGGAUUAGAUCCCGGCUUUAUAAGCGGAGGUGAUACGGGAAGUCUUUCGCAGCCAUGUCUUCGUUUUUACGAGAAGGACCUGUUGCUGAAGGUGGCAGAAUAAUUCGAAGAGCUUUUCGAAUUAAUCGCGUAUUGCGAGAUAGACAGGAUCCUUUAGCGCAGCGCGAUAAUAUACUUAUUGAGAGAGAUCGUUUUUCUCGUGAGGGUGUCAUAUACAUCAUUCGGCCACAAACUGUGUGCAUUGCCCUGAGAGUCUUUGCGAGUACGUUCCUUUACGCUAUUGGAGAUGCGGAAAACUUGGGGGGAAAGUGCUGUCUGUCCUGCCAAAACUCAAGCAGUUUUUGGGGGGUUUUGUGGUAUUUCCAAGCCACUUCAGACCACAGGUUGUGAAGCAGAAUUUUUUUUGCCAUUGCAGGUACAUUACAAUUGUUUAUGAAGAUCAUGCAACCAUGAUCAUGCCAAAAAGUAGGACUUAGUGUUUGUUCCUCAGGCUUCCCUAACGUGAUUGGUGCCGUUGACGGCACGCACGUCCCCAUCAAGGCCCCACCAGGCCCCAAUGAAGGGGAUUUUAUGAACCAAAAGGGAUUUCACAGUGUAAAUGUGCAGGUGCUUACGAUGGGAUCCUGCUUGGUGACCGGGGCUAUGCCUGCAGGCAGUAUUUUCUGACGCCAUUUCCUGAUCCAAACCCGUUACAAUGCAGCUCUAGGCAGGACAAGGGCACACACUGAAAUUACCUUUGGGGCAACUAAAGGAAAGAUUUCAGUGUCUGAAGGGUUGCACCUGACCGGGUCUGUGACAUUAUUGUUGCAUGUGCCAGUCUCCACAACAUUGCCACCAUCAGAAAGAAGAGGACACCUGUGGUGGAGGUACAGCCUGAUGAUGACCUCCAGCCAGUGCACUUGGACCAACCUAGUGGCAGAGCUGCACGGGACAGAAUUGUGGACCACCUUUUUUUGGGUUUUUUUUUUUU